rnacentral:piRNA from 2 species
UAAUCAAUGAUGAAACCUAUCCCGAAGCUGAUA